UACGGAGGGUGCAAGCGUUGUCCGGAUUUAUUGGGUUUAAAGGGUGCGUAGGCGGUCCGUUAAGUCCGGGGUGAAAGCCCACUGCUCAACAGUGGAACUGCCCUGGAAACUGGCGGACUUGAGUACAGACGAGGGUGGCGGAAUGGAUGGUGUAGCGGUGAAAUGCAUAGAUACCAUCCAGAACCCCGAUUGCGAAGGCAGCUGCCUAGACUGUAACUGACGCUGAGGCACGAAAGCGUGGGGAGCGAACAGG
rnacentral:rRNA from 1 species